CGGAUGAGGUACGAGAAAGGGAGCUGUUGUGCAGAAUUGCAGGUCUUGGAUGAAUUCACGAGUCUGAGCUGCUGUGCUUUUUUACAUGGAAGGCGGAGAGGGGAAAAGAAGGACCCACUUAGCUUGAAUGUGACGACCCGUUUGUGCUCAGUGGAGGCGCAGGACCAAAACUGCGGCGGAGAGAGACUGAAGGCGUGCACGAGAGUGGCCAAGAGCAGACGAAGAGAAGGACGAGAGAGGGCAAGAGAGACUGGGCAGAGCAACAAAAACCAGACACAAGCGUGACAAAGGAUAGAAAUUGAGCUGAAUUAGAUUUAGUUAUGUUUUCUUUUAAGCUGGCACCUGAAAUUUAGCCCAUCAGAAGAGAGUUAAGUCAAUCCCUAUUGCUCCCGAACGCAAGAAUUUGGAAGGCGCACAUAUUCCACGAUAUGAAUCCGAGGUCAUUGCUAACGUUGGCUAUGGGAACUGGAGUCAUCUUGGGUGGGAUUUUCACUCUCAACCUGGCUUCUACUGUUACUCUCAAGACCCUUCAUCUUGUAUCUGAGAGAAAGCGGAAAAAGGUUGCGUUGCCAUGCAUGGCUUGUAGAGGGAAGGGGUUUUAUAUAUGCAAGUUGUGCAAAGGAAAUUCCACCAUAGAAUGGUCGCCUUUAUAUGAUCCUAUUGCCAUUAAUCCCUGCCUUUGUCCUACUUGCGAGGGAAAUAGGGUGCAACGCUGUCUAAACUGUCUGGGAAAGGGCUAUGAUUGAUCUGUGGAGGCAUAUGCAUUUUUUAUGUUCCAGUGGACUAUGAUUCUUUAACAUACAACAUGAACAUAUGGAAUAUGGAAACAAAAAAGGUGUCUUCGGACCCAGUAGACAGGGGCCGCUCGUGAUGAUCUGCUCUCCUGCACUUGUCCAAUUUUCCCUGAAUUUUAUGCUUCCCAGUUUUAUAUAAAGUGAACUUUUCAUUUGAUAUAAGCUCCACAAAUUUGUUCAAUUUAACUUUUGUUCCCUUUGUUGUUUGAUACGUUGUCCUGCAGGGUUUGUCAGAUUGGCCAUGUUUUGUUCUGUCGACACUGCACAUUAUUGAUGCAGUGGAAUUUCUGCUGCGAUAUGUUGAAUUUGUUUGGCCCUCUCGAUCUGCUCUUCUCAUUUCAUCCACCUCCUGCAAAUUCAUUAUUAAUAUUGCUGUAGGAGCUAAAGAUUUGUAUGGGGUAUGGACCGCUUGGUAGUACAACUUCAAAACUGAGAUGCCAGUGAUUGUGGCUGUCUCCAAUGUGUUUUUUGUAUGUCUCUAAAAAUAAAGAGGAGAUUCUGUGCGUAUUUUAAACCUUACACGUGAAUGGUGAUUUAUGAGCCUUCUGGUAUAAUUCUUGAGUUUUCUUCUUUGAAGUC